rnacentral:rRNA from 1 species
GCAAUACACUGCCGGCGACCGGCGCACGGGUGCGUAACGCGUAUGCAACCUACCCAUAACAGGGGCAUAACACUGGGAAAUUGGUACUAAUUCCCCAUAACAUUCGAAGAGGCAUCUCUUUGGGUUGAAAACUCCGGUGGUUAUGGAUGGGCAUGCGUUGUAUUAGCUAGUUGGUGAGGUAACGGCUCACCAAGGCGACGAUACAUAGGGGGACUGAGAGGUUAACCCCCCACAUUGGUACUGAGACACGGACCAAACUCCUACGGGAGGCAGCAGUGAGGAAUAUUGGUCAAUGGACGCAAGUCUGAACCAGCCAUGCCGCGUGCAGGAUGACGGCUCUAUGAGUUGUAAACUGCUUUUGUACGAGGGUAAACUCACCUACGUGUAGGUGACUGAAAGUAUCGUACGAAUAAGGAUCGGCUAACUCCGUGCCAGCAGCCGCGGUAAUACGGAGGAUUCAAGCGUUAUCCGGAUUUAUUGGGUUUAAAGGGUGCGUAGGCGGUUAGAUAAGUUAGAGGUGAAAUCCCGGGGCUUAACUCC